GAUGAAGGAACGUAGCGAAAUGCGAUACGUAAUGUGAAUUGCAAAUUCAGUGAAUCAUCGAGUCUUUGAACGCACAUUGCGCCCCCUGGUAUUCCGGGGGGCAUGCCUGUCCGAGCGUCAUUGCUGCCCUCAAGCACGGCUUGUGUGUUGGGCCCCGUCCUCCGAUCCCGGGGGACGGGCCCGAAAGGCAGCGGCGGCACCGCGUCCGGUCCUCGAGCGUAUGGGGCUUUGUCACCCGCUCUGUAGGCCCGGCCGGCGCUUGCCGAUCAACCCAAAUUUUUUAUCCAGGUUGACCUCGGAUCAGGUAGGGAUACCCGCUGAACUUAAGCAUAUCAAUAAGCGGAGGA
rnacentral:misc_RNA from 1 species